rnacentral:lncRNA from 1 species
CUCAUGUCUGCUUGCGGGUAGUGGACAAGCAGUUUUUCCCUCUGAACUAGACACGGAGACCCCUCUGGCCUCAUCUCCCACCUCCUAGGGCCCAGACUGGGUGCUCCCGGGACUGAGCCUGGCUGCUCAUCCCCCGGCCCCAGGGCCCUCCGUGCAUGCUGAAAGAGAGAAGGAGGGAAGCGUUCUCAUUCGCUGGAGCUGCAAACAAACCACCCACUGUGUGGCUCAGGCUUGUUUUAAACAUCACGGAGCCCUGAGCAGAAGGGAAGGCCCAGGGCCAUGCUGGGAAGCCGGCGAGAAGCUCCGAGGGCAGCCACAAGAGGUCUGAAGCUUGCUACGACAAGUAAAGAUCAAAUCAGAAGCUGAACGCCCUGAGGCUUUGAAAGAUAGAGAGUGAUUUGUGGCCCCUCCAGUGAAAAGGCUGCUGCCAUUGUUAACAACCUCUGUUCCCGCUUUCUCCGCCAUGCUGGGUGCCGGAGCGCACUGUGUUCCAAGAAGUGAUGCCCGACCAUCUCCAGAGCAGCGUGGACUCCAGGGCGGGCAACGGGCCUCUGCCACAUCACCUGCAGAGCCGACGGGAGGAAACGGCUCCGAGGCCCAGGGCAGGUAGACUCGGGCAGCCUGGGCCUGGGGUCUGGAAGACUCGGCCUCCAGGACGUGAUUCGUUGCUCUGGCCGCGGCUUCCGGCUGCUCCCGGUGCCCCCAGUUUGGCCUCACCCUCUGCUCCUGGGCCCCAGGCCCUCCCACUCUCACUGGCCCGUCCUCGGAGGGGCCAGAAGGGCCUGCCGCCCUCUCGGCCAGGGAUGGCUGAGCGCAGGCCUUCGUAGCCCUCUGGCAGGCCUGCACAUUGAAUGCACUCACAUCCCAAAGAGAAUCGAAUUUCUUUACCAUUCCUUGUAAUUUCCUGGUAAUCACAUCACACGGGGGAACUUCCAGGAAGUGGACGACUAAGAUAAACAUGGUUUCCAAAUGUUGUAAACACAAUGUUGUAAAAGAUGCAACGAUGAUAGGGACGUAACAGCGUGUUCUGCCCUGUGCACGGUCACUUGACGGACAGACACCCGGCAGUGACCCGGACACACAGUGGUCACGGACAAAUCUCACAGACACGAGCUCAGGAAGCCAGACACAAAACAGACGCACU